rnacentral:rRNA from 1 species
UUUCUCCGCCGGCGACCGGCGCACGGGUGAGUAACACGUAUGCAACCUGCCCCUGUCAGGGGGACAACCCGCCGAAAGGCGGGCUAAACCCGCGUACAUGCACCGGGGCAUCCCGGAGGCAGGAAAGGCUUCGGCCGGACAGGGAUGGGCAUGCGGCGCAUUAGGCAGUAGGCGGGGUAACGGCCCACCUAACCGACGAUGCGUAGGGGUUCUGAGAGGAAGGUCCCCCACACUGGUACUGAGACACGGACCAGACUCCUACGGGAGGCAGCAG